UUCCGGUUGAUCCCGCCGGACCUGACUGCUAUCGGAUUGAUACUAAGCCAUGCGAGUCAUUGUAGCAAUACAAGGCAGACGGCUCAGUAACGCGUAGUCAACCUAACCUAUGGACGGGAAUAACCUCGGGAAACUGAGAAUAAUGCCCGAUAGAACACUAUGCCUGGAAUGGUUUGUGUUCCAAAUGAUUUAUCGCCGUAGGAUGGGACUGCGGCCUAUCAGUUUGUUGGUGAGGUAAUGGCCCACCAAGACUAUUACAGGUACGGGCUCUGAGAGGAGUAGCCCGGAGAUGGGUACUGAGACACGGACCCAGGCCCUAUGGGGCGCAGCAGGCGAGAAAACUUUGCAAUGUGCGAAAGCACGACAAGGUUAAUCCGAGUGGUUUCUGCUAAAGGAACCUUUUGUCGGUCCUAGAAACACCGAUGAAUAAGGGGUGGGCAAGUUCUGGUGUCAGCCGCCGCGGUAAAACCAGCACCUCAAGUGGUCAGGAUGAUUAUUGGGCCUAAAGCAUCCGUAGCCUGCUUUGUUAGUUUUCGGUUAAAUCUGUACGCUCAACGUACAGGCUGCCGGGAAUACUGCAAAGCUAGGGAGUGGGAGAGGUAGACGGUACUCGGUAGGAAGGGGUAAAAUCCUUUGAUCUAUUGAUGACCACCUGUGGCGAAGGCGGUCUACCAGAACACGUCCGACGGUGAGGGAUGAAAGCUGGGGGAGCAAACCGGAUUAGAUACCCGGGUAGUCCCAGCCGUAAACCAUGCAAACUCAGUGAUGCAUUGGCUUGUGGCCAAUGCAGUGCUGCAGGGAAGCCGUUAAGUUUGCCGCCUGGGAAGUACGUACGCAAGCAUGAAACUUAAAGGAAUUGGCGGGGGAGCACCACAAGGGGUGAAGCCUGCGGUUCAAUUGGAUUCAACGCCGGAA
rnacentral:rRNA from 1 species